rnacentral:rRNA from 1 species
GACGAACCGUGCGAACGUUAUUCGGAAUCACUGGGCUUAAAGCGCGUGUAGGCGGGCCGCCGCGUCGGCUGCUGAAAUCCCCCGGCUCAACCGGGGAACGGGCACCGAUACGGCGGCCUCGAGGGGGGUAGGGGGACUGGAACUUCCGGUGGAGCGGUGAAAUGCGUUGAGAUCGGAAGGAACGCCCGUGGCGAAAGCGAGUCCCUGGACCCUUUCUGACGCUGAGACGCGAAAGCCAGGGGAGCGAACGGG